rnacentral:rRNA from 1 species
UACGUAGGUGGCAAGCGUUGUCCGGAUUUAUUGGGCGUAAAGGGCGCGACAGGCGGUCCGUUAAGUCCGUAGGUGAAAUCUCCCGGCUCAAACUGGGAGGGGUCUUCGGAUACUGGCGGACUUGAGGAGUGGCAGAGGUGAGUGGAAUUCUCGGGUGUAGUGGUGAAAUGCGUAGAUAAUCGAGAGGAACACCAGUGGCGAAGGCGGCUCACUGGGCACCACCGUGACGCUGAGACGACGAAAGCGUGGGGAGCGAACCGGA